rnacentral:rRNA from 1 species
UACGGGGGGGGCAAGCGUUGUUCGGAAUUACUGGGCGUAAAGGGCUCGUAGGCGGCCAACUAAGUCAGACGUGAAAUCCCUCGGCUUAACCGGGGAACUGCGUCUGAUACUGGAUGGCUUGAAUCCGGGAGAGGGAUGCGGAAUUCCAGGUGUAGCGGUGAAAUGCGUAGAUAUCGAGGAAGAACCGAGCCCGUGGCGGAAGG